rnacentral:rRNA from 1 species
CGGACGGGUGAGUAACGCGUGAGAAUCUGCCUUCAGGUCGGGGAUAACAGCUGGAAACGGCUGCUAAUACCGGAUGAGCCGAGAGGUAAAAGCAAAAGUGCCUGAAGAUGAGCUCGCGUCUGAUUAGCUAGUUGGUGGGGUAAGAGCCUACCAAGGCGACGAUCAGUAGCUGGUCUGAGAGGAUGAUCAGCCACACUGGGACUGAGACACGGCCCAGACUCCUACGGGAGGCAGCAGUGGGGAAUUUUCCGCAAUGGGCGCAAGCCUGACGGAGCAAGACCGCGUGCGGGAGGACGGCCUAUUGGUUGUAAACCGCUUUUGAUAGGGAAGAAGUUCUGACGGUACCUAUCGAAUCAGCAUCGGCUAACUCCGUGCCAGCAGCCGCGGUAAUACGGAGGAUGCAAGCGUUAUCCGGAAUUAUUGGGCGUAAAGCGUCCGUAGGUGGUUGUUCAAGUCUGCUGUUAAAGCGUGCGGCUUAACCGCAUACCAGCAGUGGAAACUGGGCGACUAGAGUGCGGUAGGGGUCAGGGGAAUUCCCAGUGUAGCGGUGAAAUGCGUAGAUAUUGGGAAGAACACCGGUGGCGAAAGCGCCUGACUGGACCUGCACUGACACUGAGGGACGAAAGCUAGGGGAGCGAAAGGGAUUAGAUACCCCUGUAGUC